rfam:TPA: Bos taurus chromosome 17, whole genome shotgun sequence.
UCCCUGGUGGUCCAGUGGUUAGGACUCCCAGCUUCCACUGCAGGGGGCCCAGGUUUGACCUCUGGUCGGGGAA